rnacentral:rRNA from 1 species
GUGGGUAGUUUGACUGGGGCGGUCUCCUCCUAAAGAGUAACGGAGGAGCACGAAGGUUGGCUAAUCCUGGUCGGACAUCAGGAGGUUAGUGCAAUGGCAUAAGCCAGCUUGACUGCGAGCGUGACGGCGCGAGCAGGUGCGAAAGCAGGUCAUAGUGAUCCGGUGGUUCUGAAUGGAAGGGCCAUCGCUCAACGGAUAAAAGGUACUCCGGGGAUAACAGGCUGAUACCGCCCAAGAGUUCAUAUCGACGGCGGUGUUUGGCACCUCGAUGUCGGCUCAUCACAUCCUGGGGCUGAAGUAGGUCCCAAGGGUAUGGCUGUUCGCCAUUUAAAGUGGUACGCGAGCUGGGUUUAGAACGUCGUGAGACAGUUCGGUCCCUAUCUGCCGUGGGCGCUGGAGAACUGAGGGGGGCUGCUCCUAGUACGAGAGGACCGGAGUGGACGCAUCACUGGUGUUCGGGUUGUCAUGCCAAUGGCACUGCCCGGUAG